rnacentral:lncRNA from 1 species
ACUGACCCUGGCUUGCUUCUUGGCAUGUCUGCUGGAAGGCCAUUCUCUGUCUGUCCCAGGCAUGGCCCUAGUUCAGCUGCGGGUGAAAUUAUCCUGUUCUGAAUGUACUGAAUGCUGCUGGCAAUGCUGUAAAUUGUUGUGAGGCUUAAGGAAAAACCCUGUAGAUAUCAACAAGUCAUAAAAACAGGCGUAUUUUCUCUUCGUCUCUUU